GAUGGACGCUGGCGGCGUGCCUAAUACAUGCAAGUCGAGCGAAUGGAUUAAGAGCUUGCUCUUAUGAAGUUAGCGGCGGACGGGUGAGUAACACGUGGGUAACCUGCCCAUAAGACUGGGAUAACUCCGGGAAACCGGGGCUAAUACCGGAUAACAUUUUGAACCGCAUGGUUCGAAAUUGAAAGGCGGCUUCGGCUGUCACUUAUGGAUGGACCCGCGUCGCAUUAGCUAGUUGGUGAGGUAACGGCUCACCAAGGCAACGAUGCGUAGCCGACCUGAGAGGGUGAUGGGCAACACUGGGACUGAGACACGGCCCAGACUCCUACGGGAGGCAGCAGUAGGGAAUCUUCCGCAAUGGACGAAAGUCUGACGGAGCAACGCCGCGUGAGUGAUGAAGGCUUUCGGGUCGUAAAACUCUGUUGUUAGGGAAGAACAAGUGCUAGUUGAAUAAGCUGGCACCUUGACGGUACCUAACCAGAAAGCCACGGCUAACUACGUGCCAGCCGCCGCGGUAA
rnacentral:rRNA from 1 species